AACGAACGCUGGCGGUGUGCCUAAUACAUGCAAGUCGUACGCAUUCUCGUUUCUGAUUGACGGUGCUUGCACCUAAUUGACGAGACAUUGGAAUGAGUGGCGGACGGGUGAGUAACACGUGGGUAACCUGCCCAGAAGCGGGGGAUAACAUUUGGAAACAGAUGCUAAUACCGCAUAAAAGUCAAAACCACAUGGUUUUGAUUUGAAAGAUGGCCUUUGUGCUAUCACUUCUGGAUGGACCCGCGGCGUAUUAGCUAGUUGGUAAGGUAACGGAUUACCAAGGAAUGAUACGUAGCCGAACUGAGAGGUUGGUCGGCCACAAUGGGACUGAGACACGGCCCAUACUCCUACGGGAGGCAGCAGUAGGGAAUCUUCCACAAUGGGCGCAAGCCUGAUGGAGCAACACCGCGUGAGUGAAGGAGGGUUUCGGCUCGUAAAACUCUGUUGUUAAAGAAGAACGUAUCUAAGAGUAACUGCUUAGGUAGUGACGGUAUUUAACCAGAAAGCCACGGCUAACUACGUGCCAGCCGCCGCAGUAA
rnacentral:rRNA from 1 species